rnacentral:lncRNA from 1 species
GGGUGAGCACCUUCUCGUCGCGACGGCAGAGAGCUCCAGCGGUCGUGCUUCGAUCCAUGAUGGCCAUGGCACGGUUUUAGCAUGGGGAACGGGUUCGGUGAGGCUUGAGGAUCCUAGCAGGGGCUGGAGGGGAGAACGGUGGGGCUCGGGCUGCUUGGAUUUCUGCCGGAUGCCGGUGGUGACAGUGCGGCCAGAUUGGAGUGGAGAGGGAAGCUCAGGCAAUAUUGGAGCGAGGGGGGAGGUCCUGAGGGUCCA